CCUACGGGAGGCAGCAGUGAGGAAUAUUGGUCAAUGGGCGGAAGCCUGAACCAGCCAAGUAGCGUGCAGGAUGACGGCCCUACGGGUUGUAAACUGCUUUUAUACGGGAAUAACGCGCCUUACGUGUAGGGCUUUGCAUGUACCGUAUGAAUAAGGACCGGCUAAUUCCGUGCCAGCAGCCGCGGUAAUACGGAAGGUCCGGGCGUUAUCCGGAUUUAUUGGGUUUAAAGGGAGCGUAGGCCGCAUGUCAAGCGUGCUGUGAAAUGUCCGGGCUCAACCCGGGCCUUGCAGCGCGAACUGGCGUACUUGAGUCCGCGGAAAGCAGGCGGAAUUCGUCGUGUAGCGGUGAAAUGCUUAGAUAUGACGAAGAACCCCGAUUGCGAAGGCAGCUUGCUGCAGCGGAACUGACGCUGAUGCUCGAAAGCGCAGGUAUCGAACAGGAUUAGAUACCCUUGUAGUC
rnacentral:rRNA from 1 species